rnacentral:lncRNA from 1 species
UGAUUUUUAUGUGAGAUUCACAUGAGUUUCACAUGAGAUUCGCGUGAACCUUACAAAAACUGAUUUCACGUGAGUUUCACGUAUAAGCUCGUUUGAGGUGAAAUUCAUGUGAAUUUCACGUGAGAUUCACAUGAAUAUAAAUUCACGUGAAAUUGUUGUAAAUGAAAUUUGCAUGUGUAACAAAAACAAAAACUAAAUACCACAGUACGAAAGCAAUACUUUAGUUAACAAACGUUCGCAACCCGC